CCUGACUGGAUUCCUUAUCCCUUUGUAUCACUGCUGUUCCCAUCCUACCUCUCAUUGUUUCCCUCACAGAUUCAAUAAAUACAAUAUGUUUGGUGCCACUGCUGAUCUGCUGAGCCAGUCAGUGGCCAGCCCACUGACUCAGACUUGGUCUCAGCUUCAAAAGAAAAAUGAUGAUGUCUGUCUUUCUAGGUUUGAACCCCUCUGGUGAGCAGCAUCACAAAUGUGAUACAGACCUUCAGUAAUUACUGAAGCAGCAGUUUGUCACAAGCUGCCUGCAGCACUGAUGGACAAUCUGCUGCACAAUUGCAGUUCCAGAAAUGACACAAAACACUCAAGUCCAUGGAUGGUGAGGGAAUCAGCACACCAAAGGAUGCUUUUGUGGGGGGUACCACAAGCCCAGCUGCCUGCAAAAUUAGAAAUCUAG
rnacentral:lncRNA from 1 species